GGAAAAGAGUUCCUACAAAGGUUUUGGACAGUGAUUUUAACCCUAACGCCAAAAACCUUAAACCUUACCCUAGCCCCAAAACCCAAUACCCGGGUAUUACCUUCAGGAACCCCGAAGACCCCAAAUAUUUUUUUUUUCAUUUUUGGUUUUUUUUUGGUCUAACUAACUCCAAAAUGUUGGAAAAGAGUUCCUACAAAGGUUUUGGACAGUGAUUUUAACCCUAACGCCAAAAACCUUAAACCUUACCCUAGCCCCAAAACCUAAUACCGGGGUAUUACCUUCAGGAAGGCCGAACACCUCCAAUUUUUUUUUUUUCAUUUUUCGUUAUUUUUUGGUCUAACUAAUUCCAAAAUGUCUGAAACAUGUUCCUAAAAAGGUUUUGGACAGUAAUUUUAACUCUAAAGCCAAAAACCUUAAACCUUACCCUAGCCCAUAACCUAAUACCCGGGUAUUACCUUCAGGAAGCCCGAAAACCCCAAAUAUUUUUUUUUCAUUUUUCAUUUUUUUUUGGUCUAACUCCAAAAGGUUGGAAAAGAGUUCCUACAAAGGUUUUGGACAGUGAUUUUAACCCUCACGCCAAAAAACUUAAACCUUACCCUAGCCCCAAAACCUAAUACCCGGUUAUUACCUAAAGGGAGCCCUACCACCCCAAAAAAAAUUUUAUUAUUAUUUUUUGUUUUUUUUUGGUCUAACGAACUCCAAAAAGUCCUGAAACAUGUUCCUAAAAAGGUUUUGGACAGUGAUUUUAACCCUAACGCCAAAAACCUUCAACCUUACCCUAGCCCCAAAACCUAAUACCCGGGUAUUACCUUCAGGAAGCCCGAAAACCACAAAUAUUGUUUUUUCAUUUUUCCUUUUUUUCUUGUCUAACUAACUCCAAAAGGUUGGAAAAGAGUUCCUACAAAGGUUUUGGACAGUGAUUUUAACCCUCACGCCAAAAACCUUAAACCUUACCCUAGCCCCAUAACCUAAUACCGAAUUACCGUCAGGAAGUACAAACAACCCAAAUAUAUUUUUUUCAUUUUUCAUUUUUUUUUGGUCUAACUCCAAAAGGUUGGAAACGAGUUCCUACAAAGGUUUUGGACACUGAUUUUAACCCAAAUGCAAAAAACCUUAAACCUUACCCUAAACCCAUAACCUAAUACAUGAAUUACCUUCAGGAAGCCCGAACAACCCAAAUAUUUUUUUUUCAUUUUUCAUUUUUUUUUGGUCUAACUAACUCCAAAAGGUUGGAAACGAGUUUCUACAAAGGUUUUGGACAGUGAUUUCAACCCAAACGCCAAAAAACCUUAAACCUUACCCUAGCCCCAUAACCUAAUACAAGGGUAUUACCUUCAGGAAGCCUUUACACCCCAAAAAAAAUUUAUUUCAUUUUUAAUUUUUUGGUCAAACUAACUCCAAAAGGUUGAAAAAGAGUUCCUACAAAGGUUUUGGACAGUGAUUCUAACCCUAACGCCAAAAACCUUAAACCUUUCCUAAGCCUCAUAACCUAAUACCCGGGUAUUACCUUCAGGAAGCCCGAAAACCCCCAAUUUUUUUUUCCUUUUUCAUUUUUUUUUUUGGUCUAACUAACUCCAAAAGGUUUGAAAAGAGUUCCUACAAAGGUUUUGGACAGUGAUUUUAACCCUAAUGCCAAAAACCUUAAACCUUUCCAAAGCCCCAUAAACUAAUACUAAUAAGGAAGCCCGAACACCCCAAAUAUAUUUUUUUUAAUUAAUCAUUUUUUUUGGUCUAACUAACUCCAAAAGGUUGGAAAAGAGUUCCUACAAAGGUUUUGGACAGUGAUUUUAACCCUAACGCCAAAAACCUUAAACCUUACCCUAGCCCCAAAACCUAAUACCGGGGUAUUACCUUCAGGAAGGCCGAACACCCCAAUUUUUUUUUUUUUCAUCUUUCGUUAUUUUUUGGUCUAACUAAUUCCAAAAGGUCUGAAACAUGUUCCUAAAAAGGUUUUGGACAGUAAUUUUAACUCUAACGCCAAAAAACCUUGAACCUUACCCUAGCCCCAUAACCUAAUACCUGGGUAUUACCUUCAGGAAGCCCGAAAACCCCAAAUAUUUUUUUUUCAUUUUUCGUUUUUUUUGGUCUAACUAACUCCGAAAGGGUUGGAAAAGAGUUCCUACAAAGGUUUUGGACACUGAUUUUAACCCUCACGCCAAAAAACUUAAACCUUACCCUAGCCCCAAAACCUAAUACCCGGGUAUUACCUUCAGGAAGCCCGAACACCCCAAAUAUUUUAUUUUCAUUUUUCUUUUUUUUUUGGUCAAACUAAAUCCAAAAGGUUGGAAAAGAGUUCGUAUAAAGGUUUUGGACAGGGAUUUUAACCCUAACGCCAAAAACCUUAAACCUUAACCUAGCCCCAAAACCUGAUACCCGGGUAUUACCUUCAGGAGGCCCGAAAACCACAAAUUUUUUUUUUUCAUUUUUCAUUUUUUUUUGGUCUAACUUACUCCAAAAGGUUGGAAAAGAGUUCUUACAAAGGUUUUGGACAGUAAUUUUAACUCUAACGCCAAAAAACCUUAAACCUUACCCUAGCCCCAUAACCUAAUACAAGGGUAUUACCUUCAGGAAGCCUUUACACCCCAAAAAAAAUUUAUUUCAUUUUUCGUUUUUUUUUUGGUCUAACUAACUCCAAAAGGUUGGAAAAGAGUUCCUACAAAGGUUUUGGACAGUGAUUUUAACCCUCACGCCAAAAACCUUAAACCUUAACCUAGCCCCAAAACCUGAUACCCGGGUAUUACCUUCAGGAAGCCUUUACACCCCAAAAAAAAUUUAUUUCAUUUUUCGUUUUUUUUUGGUCUAACUAACUCCAAAAGGUUGGAAAAGAGUUCCUACAAAGGUUUUAGACAGUGAUUUUAACCCUCACGCCAAAAACCUUAAACCUUUUCAAAGCUUCAUAACCUAAUUCCCGGGUAUUACCUUCAGGAAGCCCGAAAACCCCAAAUAUUUUUUUUUCAUUUUUCGUUUUUUUUUUGGUCUAACUAACUCCAAAAGGUUGGAAAAGAGUUCCUAUAAAGGGUUUGGACAGUGAUUUUAACCCUAAUGCCAAAAACCUUAAACCUUUCCAAAGCCCCAUAAACUAAUACUAAUAAGGAAGCCUUUACACCCCAAAAAAAAUUUAUUUCAUUUUUCGUUUUUUUUUGGUCUAACUAACUCCAAAAGGUUGGAAAAGAGUCCCUACAAAGGUUUUAGACAGUGAUUUUAACCUUAACGCCAAAAACCUUAAACCUUUCCAAAGCCUCAUAACCUAAUACCCGGGUAUUACCUUCAGGAAGCCCGAAAACCCCAAAUAUUUUUUUUUCAUUUUUCGUUUUUUUUUUGGUCUAACUAACUCCGAAAGGGUUGGAAAAGAGUUCCUACAAAGGUUUUGGACAGUGAUUUUAACCCUCACGCCAAAAAACUUAAACCUUACCCUAGCCCCAAAACCUAAUAUCGGGGUAUUACCUUCAGGAAGCCCGAACACCCCAAAUAGUUUUUUUUAAUUUUUCUUUUUUUUUAGGUCUAACUAACUCCAAAAGGUUGGAAAAGAGUUCCUACACAGGUUUUGGACAGUGAUUUUAACCCUCACGCCAAAAAACUUAAACCUUACCCUAGCCCCAAAACCUAAUACCCGGGUAUUACCUUCAGGAAGCCCGAAAACCCCAAAUAUUUUUUUUUCAUUUUUCGUUUUUUUUUGGUCUAACUAACUCCGAAAGGGUUGGAAAAGAGUUCCUACAAAGGUUUUGGACAGUGAUUUUAACCCUCACGCCAAAAACCUUAAACCUUAACCUAGCCCCAAAACCUGAUACCCGGGUAUUACCUUCAGGAAGCCUUUACACCCCAAAAAAAAUUUAUUUCAUUUUUCGUUUUUUUUUGGUCUAACUAACUCCAAAAGGUUGGAAAAGAGUUCCUACAAAGGUUUUAGACAGUGAUUUUAACCCUCACGCCAAAAACCUUAAACCUUUUCAAAGCUUCAUAACCUAAUUCCCGGGUAUUACCUUCAGGAAGCCCGAAAACCCCAAAUAUUUUUUUUUCAUUUUUCGUUUUUUUUUUGGUCUAACUAACUCCAAAAGGUUGGAAAAGAGUUCCUAUAAAGGGUUUGGACAGUGAUUUUAACCCUAAUGCCAAAAACCUUAAACCUUUCCAAAGCCCCAUAAACUAAUACUAAUAAGGAAGCCCGAACACCCCAAAUAUUUUUUUUUUAAAUUAAUCAUUUUUUUUUGGUCUAACUAACUCCAAAAGGUUGGAAAAGAGUUCCUACAAAGGUUUUGGACAGUGAUUUUAACCCUCACGCCAAAAAACUUAAACCUUACCCUAGCCCCAAAACCUAAUACCCGGGUAUUACCUUCAGGAAGCCCGAAAACCCCAAAUAUUUUUUUUUCAUUUUUCGUUUUUUUUUGGUCUAACUAACUCCGAAAGGGUUGGAAAAGAGUUCCUACAAAGGUUUUGGACAGUGAUUUUAACCCUCACGCCAAAAAACUUAAACCUUACCCUAGACCCAAAACCUAAUACCCGGGUAUUACCUUCAGGAAGCCCGAAAACCCCAAAUAUUUUUUUUUCAUUUUUCGUUUUUUUUUGGUCUAACUAACUCCAAAAGGUUGGAAAAGAGUUCCUACAAAGGUUUUGGACAGUGAUUUUAACCCUCACGCCAAAAAACUUAAACCUUACCCUAGCCCCAAAACCUAAUACCCGGGUAUUACCUUCAGGAAGCCCGAAAACCCCAAAUAUUUUUUUUUCAUUUUUCGUUUUUUUUUUGGUCUAACUAACUCCGAAAGGGUUGGAAAAGAGUUCCUACAAAGGUUUUGGACAGUGAUUUUAACCCUCACGCCAAAAAACUUAAACCUUACCCUAGCCCCAAAACCUAAUACCGGGGUAUUACCUUCAGGAAGCCCGAACACCCCAAAUAGUUUUUUUUAAUUUUUCUUUUUUUUUAGGUCUAACUAACUCCAAAAGGUUGGAAAAGAGUUCCUACAAAGGUUUUGGACAGUGAUUUUAACCCUCACGCCAAAAAACUUAAACCUUACCCUAGCCCCAAAACCUAAUACCCGGGUAUUACCUUCAGGAAGCCCGAAAACCCCAAAUAUUUUUUUUUCAUUUUUCGUUUUUUUUUGGUCUAACUAACUCCGAAAGGGUUGGAAAAGAGUUCCUACAAAGGUUUUGGACAGUGAUUUUAACCCUCACGCCAAAAAACUUAAACCUUACCCUAGCCCCAAAACCUAAUACCGGGGUAUUACCUUCAGGAAGCCCGAACACCCCAAAUAUUUUUUUUUCAUUUUUCUUUUUUUUUAGGUCUAACUAACUCCAAAAGGUUGGAAAAGAGUUCCUACACAGGUUUUGGACAGUGAUUUUAACCCUCACGCCAAAAAACUCAAACCUUACCCUAGCCCCAAAACCUAAUACCCGGGUAUUACCUUCAGGAAGCCCGAAAACCCCAAAUAUUUUUUUUUCAUUUUUCGUUUUUUUUUUGGUCUAACUAACUCCGAAAGGGUUGGAAAAGAGUUCCUACAAAGUUUUUGGACAGUGAUUUUAACCCUCACGCCAAAAAACUUAAACCUUACCCUAGCCCCAAAACCUAAUACCCCGGUAUUACCUUCAGGAGGCCCGAACACCCCAAAUAUUUUAUUUUCAUUUUUCUUUUUUUUUUGGUCAAACUAAAUCCAAAAGGUUGGAAAAGAGUUCUUAUAAAGGUUUUGGACAGUGAUUUUAACCCUAACGCCAAAAACCUUAAACCUUAACCUAGCCCCAGCCCCAAAACCUUAUACCCGGGUAUUACCUUCAGGAGGCCCGAAAACCACAAAUAUUUUUUUUUCAUUUUUUAUUUUUUUUUGGUCUAACUAAUUCCAAAAGGUUGGAAAAGAGUUCCUACAAAGGUUUUGCACAGUGAUUUUAACCCUCACGCCAAAAACCUUAAACCUUAACCUAGCCCCAAAACCUGAUACCCGGGUAUUACCUUCAGGAAGCCCGAACACCCCAAAUAUUUUUUUUUCAUUUUUCUUUUUUUUUGGUCUAACUAACUCCAAAAGGUUGGAAAAGAGUUCCUACAAAGGUUUUGGACAGUGAUUUUAACCCUAACGCCAAAAACCUUAAACCUUACCCUAGCCCCAUAACCUUAUACCCGGGUAUUACCUUCAGGAAGCCCAAACACCCCAAAUAUUUCUUUUUCAUUUUACAAUUUUUUUUUGGUGUAACUAACUCCAUAAGGUCUGAAACAUGUUCCUAAAAAGAUUUUGGACAGUGAUUUUAACCCUAACGCCAAAAACAUUAAACCUUUCCCUAGCCCCAUAAUCUAAUACCUUCAGGAAGCCCGAACACCCCAAAUAUUUUUUUUUCAUUUUUCGUUUUUUUUUAGGUCUAACUAACUCCAAAAGGUUGGAAAAGAGUUCCUACACAGGUUUUGGACAGUGAUUUUAACCCUAAUGCCAAAAACCUUAAACCAUACCAAAGCCCCAUUACCUAAUACCCAGGUAUUACCUUCAGGAAGACCGAACACCCCAAACAUUUUUUUUUCUUUUUUCUUUUUUUUUUGGUCUAACUAACUCCAAAUGGUUGGAAAAGAGUUCCUACAAAGGUUUUGGACACUGAUUUUAACCCUCACGCCAAAAACCUUAAACCUUAUUAUAGCCCCAUAACCUAAUACCCGGGUAUUACCUUCAGGAAGCCAGAACACCCCAAAUAUUUUUUUUUUCUUUUUCUUUUUUUUUUUUGGUCAAACUAAAUCCAAAAGAUUGGAAAAGAGUUCCUAUAAACGUUUUGGACAGUGAUUUUAACCCUAACGCCAAAAACCUUUAACUUUACCCUAGCCCCAAAACCCAAUAACCGGGUAUUACCUUCAGGAAGCCCGAAGACCCCAAAUAUUUUUUUUUCAUUUUUGGUUUUUUUUUGGUCUAACUAACUCCAAAAGGUUGGAAAAGAGUUCCUACAAAGGUUUUGGACAGUGAUUUUAACCCUAACGCCAAAAACCUUAAACCUUACCCUAGCCCCAAAACCUAAUACCGGGGUAUUACCUUCAGGAAGCCCGAAGACCCCAAAUAUUUUUUUUCCAUUUUUCGUUUUUUUUUGGUCUAACUAAUUCCAAAAGGUCUGAAACAUGUUCCUAAAAAGGUUUUGGACAGUGAAUUUAACCCUCACGCCAAAAACCUUAAACCUUACCCUAUCCCCAUAACCUAAUACCCGGGUAUUACCUUCAGGAAGCCCGAACACCCCAAAUAUUUUAUUUUCAUUUUUCUUUUUUUUGGUCAAACUAAAUCCAAAAGGUUGGAAAAGAGUUCUUAUAAAGGUUUUGGACAGUGAUUUUAACCCUAACGCCAAAAACCUUAAACCUUAACCUAGCCCCAAAACCUGAUACCCGGGUAUUACCUUCAGGAGGCCCGAAAACCACAAAUAUUUUUUUUUCAUUUUUUAUUUUUUUUUGGUCUAACUAAUUCCAAAAGGUUGGAAAAGAGUUCCUACAAAGGUUUUGCACAGUGAUUUUAACCCUCACGCCAAAAACCUUAAACCUUAACCUAGCCCCAAAACCUGAUACCCGGGUAUUACCUUCAGGAAGCCCGAACACCCCAAAUAUUUUUUUUUCAUUUUUCAUUUUUUUUGGUCUAACUAACUCCAAAAGGUUGGAAAAGAGUUCCUACAAAGGUUUUGGACAGUGAUUUUAACCCUCACGCCAAAAACCUUAAACCUUACCAUAGCCCCAUUACCUAAUAGCCGGGUAUUACCUUCAGGAAGACUGAAAACCCGAAAUAUUUUUUUUUAAUUUUUCAUUUUUUUUUGGUCUAAAUAACUCCAAAAGGUUGGAAAAGAGUUCCUACAAAGGUUUUGGACAGUGAUUUUUACCCUAACGCCGAAAGACUCAAACGUUUCCAAAGCCCCAAAACCUAAUACCCGGGUAUUACCUUCAGGAAGCCCGAACACCCCAAAUAUGUUUUUUCCAUUUUUCAUUUUUUUUUGGUCUAACUAAUUCCAAAAGGUUGGAAAAGAGUUCCUACAGAGGUUUUGGACAGUGAUUUUAACCCUAACGCCAAAAACCUUUAACUUUACCCUAGCCCCAAAACCUGAUACCCGGGUAUUACCUUCAGGAAGCCCGAAAACCCCCAUUUUUAUUUUUCAUUUUUCAUUUUUUUUUUGGUCUAGCUAACUCCAAAAGGUUGGAAAAGAGUUCCUACAAAGGUUUUGGACAGUGAUUUUAAUCCUAACGCCAAAAACCUUAAACCUUAACCUAGCCCCAAAACCUUAUACCCGGGUAUUACCUUCAGGAGGCCCGAAAACCACAAAUAUUUUUUUUUCAUUUUUUAUUUUUUUUUGGUCUAACUAAUUCCAAAAGGUUUGAAAAGAGUUCCUACAAAGGUUUUGCACAGUGAUUUUAACCCUCACGCCAAAAACCUUAAACCUUAACCUAGCCCCAAAACCUGAUACCCGGGUAUUACCUUCAGGAAGCCCGAACACCCCAAAUAUUUUUUUUUCAUUUUCAUUUUUUUUGGUCUAACUAACUCCAAAAGGUUGGAAAAGAGUUCCUACAAAGGUUUUGGACAGUGAUUUUAACCCUAACACCAAAAACCUUAAACCUUACCCUAGCCCCAUAACCUUAUACCCGGGUAUUACCUUCAGGAAGCCCGAACACCCCAAAUAUAUAUAUUUUAUUUUUAUUUUUCAUUUGUUUUUUGGUCUAACUCACUCCAAAAGGUUGGAAAAGAGUUCCUACAAAGGUUUUGGACAGUGAUUUUAACCCUCACGCCAAAAACCUUAAACCUUACCAUAGCCCCAUUACCAAAUACCCGGGUAUUACCUUCAGGAAACCUUAAGGAAGACUGA